AUUGAACGCUGGCGGCAGGCCUAACACAUGCAAGUCGAGCGGUAGCACAGAGAGCUUGCUCUCGGGUGACGAGCGGCGGACGGGUGAGUAAUGUCUGGGAAACUGCCUGAUGGAGGGGGAUAACUACUGGAAACGGUAGCUAAUACCGCAUAACGUCGCAAGACCAAAGUGGGGGACCUUCGGGCCUCAUGCCAUCAGAUGUGCCCAGAUGGGAUUAGCUAGUAGGUGGGGUAACGGCUCACCUAGGCGACGAUCCCUAGCUGGUCUGAGAGGAUGACCCGCCACCCUGGAACUGAGCAAUGGUCGAGACCCCUACGGGAGGCAGCAGUGGGGAAUAUUGCACAAUGGGCGCAAGCCUGAUGCAGCCAUGCCGCGUGUGUGAAGAAGGCCUUCGGGUUGUAAAGCACUUUCAGCGGGGAGGAAGGCGGUGAGGUUAAUAACCUCAUCGAUUGACGUUACCCGCAGAAGAAGCACCGGCUAACUCCGUGCCAGCCGCCGCCGUAACAC
rnacentral:rRNA from 1 species